AGUAGAUUUGCUGGAUCAUAUGGUAAUUCUAUAUUUAACUUUUUGAGGAACUGCCAAACUGUUUUUCCACAGUGGCUACACCAUUUUACAUUCCUGCUUGCAAU
rnacentral:pre_miRNA from 1 species